rfam:Schistosoma margrebowiei strain Zambia genome assembly, scaffold: SMRZ_contig0001307
AUCCAGAUGAUGAGUCCCAAAAAGGACGAAACGCGCGUCCUGGAU